UGCUUAUCCUCCUCUAUAUAAGGAUGGAGAAGAGUCAGUUGUAAAAGAAGAACUACCUUUGAAAUAAUACAAAGGCUUUCCAUCUGGUUGAAAACUCUGGAUUAGCUUUGCCUCUGGUCCUGGUACUACUUCUUCUGUAGAUAAUGGCUGGAACAUCAUUUGAGUAGUAAAAACAGGAGGUGUUGAAAGCUGUUUUAGGUGACUGUGAUCAAAUCGGAUUUCACUAGUCCCAUCAGCUUUUGUUGUGAUUUGACUUCCGGUGGAUUUAAUCGGCUGGCUAUGUUGGUGGAUCUGCUCGUAGUUGGUCACCCAUUUUUCUGAGAUUAAAAGAGAAUCUUCAGAUCCUUGAUUUGUCAGCUUGAAGGCAUGAUCUUGGACCCUAUACACUAUUUGAUAGUGCAGGGUUGCAGUUACCGCCGAUUCAACCAUUUCUGCUCCAAUAAUCUGGAUCUGGACCUUAAGAGCAUCAAACAAAUUGGGAUCUUGCAGGGACAUGGUAAAGUUGGGGAACAGAGUUACUAUGGCCAUUCCCGAGCUUAAAGUUGCUUCUACUGUUCCAAUACAGGCAUCCUGGUAGCGUUUGUAUCUGGAAUCUAACAAAGCAAUUCUGGAUACUACAGGUUUCCCUGAAGUUCCGUGAUAAUUUAACGCCAAUCAGACUGCUCCAAAAUGGAUAUGAGAAUAUCCAUGUUGACUCCAUUGUUGUGGAAAAUGAGAGGGAAUCUCUAAAGUGACAAAUUGUUCUUCUUGGCCUCCAUAGAUAAGAUGUUUGUCAAAUUUAGAGGACUGGACAUAUUCUUUAACAUUUCUUCUUCUGGUAGUUAUAAGAGACUUUAUACUUUUUACAGGAGAAAAAGAGGGUUUUUGGUAAGCGGAGUAUGGGUUUACUAAAGGAAGAUUAGUAGCCUGGAUUUUUCUUCCUCUGUGAAAUAUUCAACUUCAUAGAGGGAGGAGAUUCUUCUAGCAGAAUGAGAACGGAAAGGGGAUUCUGGUAAUGAAAUUGGGGCUUUUGUAGUAGAUAACCUAGGAGAUUCUAUGAAAUUUUCAAAAAACUCUCAUCUUACUUGAUUGUAGUCUUUCUGAUUGAAAGAAAAUCUGAACUUUUUCGCGCUCUGAUACCAAUAAAGGGCAGGUGAGUAAGAAGCAAGAGAUCAGCAAUUAACGAUUCUUAACAGCAGGUAUGCUAUGCCAAAACACAGGCCUUUUCAAUCCUUUUGGCCAUCAACAAGGCACUGCCUUUUAGCUGUUAAAAUUCUUUAAUCACUGAACUCCUUCUUCAAACUCAUCUGAACCUAAUAGUACCUUCUAUCAGGUUUAAUUUCUGAUGUGCAGGAUCCAUAAUUAUGGCAAGCACAGAGCAUACUCUUAAACUUUUGAGAGAUUUUCUUCCACAGAAAUCCUAUUUUCAAGUAAGAAGAGAUGAGAGGAAUUUAGAAAGCCAUAGAUUUUUUAAAACUCGUCUGGGUUUUAUUUCAAAGGUAGUUCUUCUUUUACAACCGACUCUUCUCCAUCCUUAUAUAGAGGAGGAUAAGCAGAUAAGGAGGAAUCUGCUUUUACAUUUUUACAGACACAAAGGACAUGACUCAUUCAUAAAGGACAUUAGCAGAUAAGAAAGAAUCUGCUUUUACAUUUUUACAGACAUAAAGGACAUGACUCCUUCAUAAAGGACAUUAGCAGAUAAGGAGGAAUCUGCUUUUAUAUUAACCUAUCUAUUAUUGAUACGUCUGUAUCUGUAUCAUAGUAUGUAUCAAUAUCAGAGGUGAUGUUGAGUUCUUCCA